rnacentral:tRNA from 1 species
GCCGGAGUGGCGGAACUGGUAGACGCGCACGACUCAAAAUCGUGUGACAGCAAUGUCAUCGGGGUUCGAUUCCCCGCCCCGGCA